CGUGGAGAACCUGCCGUAUACUGGGGGAUAACACUUAGAAAUAGGUGCUAAUACCGCAUAAGCGCACAGCUUCGCAUGAAGCAGUGUGGAAAACAAAAAGCUAAAGCUUUUGGUGGUAUACGAUGGAUCCGCGUCUGAUUAGCUAGUUGGCGGGGUAAAGGCCCACCAAGGCGACGAUCAGUAGCCGGCCUGAGAGGGUGAACGGCCACAUUGGGACUGAGACACGGCCCAAACUCCUACGGGAGGCAGCAG
rnacentral:rRNA from 1 species